rnacentral:rRNA from 1 species
UAGUGGCGAACGGGUGAGUAAUGCAUCGGAACAUACCCAGUCGUGGGGGAUAACGUAGCGAAAGUUACGCUAAUACCGCAUACGUCCUGAGGGAGAAAGCGGGGGAUCGCAAGACCUCGCGCGAUUGGAGUGGCCGAUGUCAGAUUAGCUAGUUGGUGGGGUAAAGGCCUACCAAGGCGACGAUCUGUAGCGGGUCUGAGAGGAUGAUCCGCCACACUGGGGCUGAGACACGGCCCAGACUCCUACGGGAGGCAGCAGUGGGGAAUUUUGGACAAUGGGCGCAAGCCUGAUCCAGCCAUGCCGCGUGCGGGAUGAAGGCCUUCGGGUUGUAAACCGCUUUCAGCCGGAAAGAAAUCGCCAUUUCUAAUACGAGUGGUGGAUGACGGUACCGGAAGAAGAAGUACCGGCUAACUCUGUGUUCGUG